rnacentral:lncRNA from 1 species
CUGCUCCGAGGAGUGUGCUUUCUGAGCGUUUCUUUCUCAGUAACGUACAGUUAUGUUGAGCUGGAUAUUGGCUAUGGCUCCUCUGCAGAGACUGACUCUCUGAGUUGUGCUAUCACCCACGAUGCUGUUGACCUGUUCUGUACUCUACCCAGCCAUUCAGCUUUGGGGCAGGAUUUCCACAGGUUGCCUUUACUGUUUCCUUCAAUUAAAUGUUUUUCAAAGAGCCCUACCUCACCUUUUCCAAAGUCUCAGCUAUUCUUGGAGUUACUGCAGGUAAGAAUGAACAGCACUGAAACUGGUAAGUUUGUCCCAGUGUCCUGUGCUCUGCCAUCCUGUAUCAUUUCUGUUCACUUAUUGUUCCUUCUUUUUAGGCUGUUAACAUCUUGUCCUGUGCUUUUUGCUGACUAGGGGAAUGCACUGCAUGUAACCAACAACAGUCAUCUGCUAAAGGUGAGGGUAUAUAUGAAUCUGUGAGUUUGAAUUUUUUCCUCAAAUACUUCUAUCUUUUAUGAUUUGAAAUAAUUAUGAAGGAUUACUAAAACUUCAUGAUUAAGAGAAAGUUAGAAAGUCUUUUAUUCCUUUACCUUUCUCAUAGGUUACUUUAGAUAGUUCAGCAAAGCUCAUAAUCAGGUUUCUAAGCUACUUUUGUUACUGUAGACUUUCUGGAGUGCCAUGCCCUAGGGUAAGAGCAAGCAGCCUUUAAAGCUCCAAAGUUAACUUUUAACAUCUGUCUGAUGCCAUUCAGUACUGUUAUGAGAGGUUCGUUAUGAAAACCUGCAUCACACUUGCCGGGUCAGGUAAAGUAGAAAGCAAAUCUUUAAUUCUUUCCACAUGAGUUGGUAAAGGAGAAAAAUGAAAUGAUACAAUUUGCCAAAACUCUGAUGUUUAAUUUUUGGUAGUAGGAACAGCUGUGCUGUGCUGUUGUGCUAUGAAAUGAGAAUGCUGUCUGCCAGAUAACGCUCUUCACAUGUGCCAGUCCAGCAUUUAUGCCAUUCUGCACCCAGUGUCCCUUUCUUGGCUUUACUGAUGCUUAGUGAAUGGAGUAGGAGCUGAAUUUGCACCACUUCUGCAUGUCAAAUGUGACUUUCCACCCAUGUUUAAAAGUACAGAUCAUUUCUUCUGGAAAGCACUAUCAGUGCAAUUCACCCGGCCUAUCUUCCAUCAUUUAC